CUCACAAUGAUCCUCCUGCUUCUGCCUCCUGAGUGCUGGGAUUACAGGCAUGCACCACCACACCUGGCUAUGACAAAUUUUCAUCACAAUAUUUUCCAUUAGAGCCCUAAACUAGAAAUAACCCACAUUUCUAUAGCAAAUGGGUUAAUGAAAUAAAGAAAUGGGUUAAUGAACAGUAUUCAUAUAAAGUAGCGAUGUAUGCGAAACAUGAUGUCAGAUAAAAAGCCUGACGUGAUGUAGGAUCCUGUUGUGUGUGAUAUCCAAAAAAAAGUGAAUUUCUACAGACAGGAUGCAGAAGGGCGGUUGCUUGAGACAGGCUGGGGUGAACUGCAGUGGGCACCCAGGAAGCUUCUGGAGAAUGUAGAACUGUCCUCAAGCUGGAUUUGGUGACAUCGCUAUAGUAGCUAAAUUCUAUCUCAGAGCAGCUGUUGGAGACAAGUAACAGACUCAAGUUCUGACCAUUCCAGUGUGUGCGUCUCACCAGGGCGAGCUGAAACCUCUGGUGCGGGUCCUUCAUGAGCAGUUGCAAUGCACCGCUCUUCCUGGCCCCACCUGAAGGGUAAAAGCCCAUGCUUCCGAGCAGAAAAGCCCUGGGUCCCUUACACUCAGAAGGUUCGCUUCUGUGCAGACAACAGGCUUACAGUAACUGGGCACCUGUUGGGGUCACAUCCUCUAGGCCUGAUGUGCAGCUACGCCACAGCUUGUGAAACACAGCCCCUCACUGGUGCGCGGAUUGAAAGCGUGCGCUUCAGGAGGUGACGGGCAGCUCCAGCUAUGCACCGACAAGCCCCAAGCAGAGGGCCGGGGCUUCCGCAUGUCCUGCCACUGUCUUGCCCACCAGCACACUUCUCUCCCCGACCCACCUUUGUGCAGGGCAGCGGAUCCUGAGGCUUCCAUCCUUCCUGAACGAAGCUCGGUGCUGGCUGCAUUGCAGAUACCCUGGUUUGGAUGAAGUAAACAGUUGGGGGCCAUCUACAGUUCAAGGAACACUUGAGUCAAUGCCAAUAAAGCAGCCAGAGCUAGAAGUGAUGGUUAGCUUUCUGUUCAUCCCACCGUCAACCUAUUCCUUCCCACAGAGAGCAGCAGCAGGACAGGAGCAGACGGGACACAGGCAGGAAAUUUGGGGCCACUGGCCAGCUACUCAUGCUGGACCUGAGUCACAGCACCCUGCUUCCCUGAUCCUUAAAAUAACCUAAUUCACCAGUGAGGCCCACCUCAGAGCUGUGCAGAAAUGCCGGGGCUGGGCCAAGGGGCUCCCAGGGGAGUCCUAAGACUCCAAGCGUGUUUGCUCAGAAGCCCAGGGGCUUGCAAGGCGCACGCUUCCACCAGGCAGGGGACGCAGAGGCCACGCGAGACGGCCCCAACUGAUUUCCAACAGCUCGGAGUUGGAGGAGGGACCAGGAGCAAUUCAGAGUCUCCAAAAUAAACACAGCACUAUUGACUCUGGUGCCACCCCAGAAGCGUAGAACAUCGCCUCUUUAACCAACACAGACCUUCGGGUAUUCCAAAGCUUGCUCACCUCUGCCCCAAAGAUGUCCCUGUAGAUGUGUAUCUGUCACUCCUUAAUGAAUGGUGCUUUCUCUAACGAGAAAAUGGCACAACCAAGUCAAAAAUAUGAUGUUUGGUUUUAUUUUCCUAUCUCAGUGUCGGUAAAAAGAUUCAGAGAACUGACUGACAUACAUCAUGAACAUUUACCCACAGACAAUACACGCAGUUUACACUGUUCCUCCUCUGUGGAAAAAGGUGACACUGUCUUAGCUGGAGCCAAAGUGCAAAGGAAGAGACACUACACAUGAAAACCAAGAGGGCGGCACGGUCUCUCCGUUCCGGUGUCAGUGUGCGCCGCCAGGAGGGAAAGUGCUGAGGAAGCACAUGCGAGCCAAGCUCAGACAGCUGAGCGGAGCUCCCACGGCCGCAGGUCGGGAACCAGGAGCUGCUACUGUGAAGGAAUCCCUAGCUUCUCAUUUUCCUGCUAUAACACUGCUACAUCGGAAUCUAAGCCCUUGUCCCAGUGCGAAUAUAAAAGUGACCAAGUCAGGGUUUUCCGGCCAUCUUUUGCUAAAAUAUAUUCUAUUUUAAUAUACAUGCUAUAAAAGUGUGCUGAAAAGGUUAAUCAUCAGAGCUUUGUUAAAAUUAUUUUUUUACAUAUAAUGUACACCCAACUCUAAAAGUAUAUUUGACUUUUUUUUUUUUUUCCCCGGUACUGGGGAUCAAACUCAUGACCUUGCGCUUGCUGGGCAGGUGCCAUGCCGCUGAGCUAAAUCCCCAGCCCCUAAAAGUAUAUUUGAGAAAGAGCUCUUACAGCGACUCCCAAUAUUCUUGGCUCCAUACGUGGUUUAUAAUAACAUUGACUUGAUAAUACAUGUAUUUAGCAAUGCCCUCAUAAUUCUAUCUUGCAAAGCCUCAACGAUUACUUUAAAGGAAAAUGUGGCGGGAUCUGUGCACCUGCAAGGAGUUUUUACCUGCGCCAGUGGCCAAGUUUUCAGUGGGACCUCCUAUCAGAACAUUUUCAUUGUACGUAUUUUAAAAUUUUGGUGCCCUGAAAUUCUCUUAGGGUCAACAUUUGGAGCUUUUAAUGGGGCAAAUAAAACCAGAAGAUCUUGAAAACUCACAGGUGGUCUGCUCUCCAGCGUGAUCAUCCCUCCCGCGAUGUCUGGGGUGAUUCUAAGCGUUUGAGGGGCAGUGUGAAACACGCGCAUGUGGCGGCGGCCACUCAGCUAAGUGCCUGCCGGGCCGGAACAACACCGAGACGCAUCCUGCUGUGACCGCGUCUCCUGGGACCCCGCAGGACUCAGGAUGAGGCUGACAGCUAAGGUCCACUCGUGGGACCUCGCAGGUCCGCAGUCUUUUAUUUCAGGGGUGACAGCAUGGAAAUACAAAACAACCAUAAUCUGUUUCUGAUUUAAACAAAAAUAUUUACUCUCUUCAUUAGCAAAACAUUCUUUAAAAAUGGUGUGUUCUCCCCCUCUGCAUGCCUAGCCAGAGACACCUGGCUAGGUGUCUGAAGGCUUCCUGGAUGCGGCAAAGGGUGGCGAGGCUCGCGGGAAAGGCGAAGGGGAAGGAUCAGGAUGCAGUGUGUCCAGGUACCAGUUUCCGAGGCACACGUAAAUCAUCGCAUGUCACAAACGUAUACUGUACCGAUAAAAAUAUAUAUUCAAAAACGGAAGCAAUUACUCUCAUCUGUUAGUAUCCAGUCCACCAAAGCAAAGAUUUGGCAUUUGUGCCACACAUGCUCUUUGUUCUUGGGGGAAUCACACCUGCCUGGUCUCAGGAGGAGAAAGUGUAGCAGGCUGAGCUGAGUACCAAGGAGUUGCUCCGAGCUUGGGUCUGCAGGCGGAUUGGUGUCUGCAUCUCCACAGGGCCCCACCGGAGAUGAGCAGGUGCCAGCCCACGCAGGCCCACCCCAUGCCGCCAUCACUCUGGCCCUGCACCAGCCCUGCCCUGCUCCCUGCCCUGCCCUGGCCCGCUGGUGCCCUGAUCAGCUGGUGCCAGGCCUCAGAGCUCGGCGAAGGCAGGGCGCACGGAACGAGGAACAGCGAGUUUGACCAGCAGGCCCAGCUGCAGCCCCGCCUGGUCCUCGGGGGAACGCGAGGCAGCAUCUGUACACCUGCUCCUCCACCAGGAAUCACCUUUGUUUCUCUUGGGAAGGCUUCACAAGGUCAUUUCCCAAACCAUUGUAUCAGACAUAGGGUUAAAUGCCUGCUCUUCUAACAAGUCACCCUCCCUUUCCUGAAUUGUGAACCUAGCUGAAAGUAGAAUGUUUGCCCCUGGCUAACGACUACUGCUCUGGAAAGUGGACAGGUGGCUGCGGUAGUGCAACAGUAGAGCAUGUGCCCCACACAUGCAAGGCUCCAGGUUUCCUCCCCUGUACUAGAGAGAGAGAGACAGAGACAGAGACAGAGAGAGGAACGAAAGAGAAUGAAAAAAGGAAGAAAGAGAAAAAAA